AUUCCUUUGUUCUUUAGAGUCACUGCUUCUGCAGGGUGGGAUGGAUGUGAUGCCAUUUUUUGCCUUGACUAUACUUUGUCACACAGGUCCUUCCCAAACACAAGUAUCAUAUGGAUGCACUGCUGUGUCUUGAGGGCAGCAGGCAUCUCCUGCUGUCCCAUGGUGAGAGGUCCAGGUCCUACAUUCAUCUUCAGGGUCUGCUCAAGCUCCUCUUCACCAAGAACCUCUUUCUGAAGUUUCUCAGCAUCCACCGAGGUUGACAGCCAGGCACCAGGAAGGGAGAUUCAUGGCUGGUAAGCACCACAAAUCCCCUGCAGAAUACCUUUUUGGCCUCCAGUUUCCCCAUCUAUAAGCCAAGCACUUUUAAAUAGUGUGCUCUUUGAGACACAGCUUUCUGUUCUGUCAGACAACAGGGACUUUUGGAAAACCUCCAGGUAGUGUCUGAAAUCAGAUUAGCUGAUAUAUCACAUACCAAGAGUAAUCCCAGAUUGUGGGGGCUGUUCUUAACAUCUCCAUGGAUGUCCCAGAGUUGGCUUGAUUGGAGGCAAGGAAUACCAUGGAAACAGGACUGGGUGGAGAGGCUUGGGCAGUGGGGAGGCUUUGCAGGGGUCAGGAGUGCUGGAAAGUGUCUGUCUGUCUGGAAAUAGAAGAAGGAGUGGGCUGGAUAGAGGAGACCACCACUCCUUUAAUGACUGCUGUGAGAGCUGCCACCUCUGCUGCCUAGUGCUGGCCAGAUCCAUGGUGUGACUGCUCAUCUCCAGCUCUCUGUGCCUCACAUGCUGCUUUUCCUAUAAAUAGUCCGGUGGGAAGCGGAGCAUGGAGCCACCACAGAUGGCCCCCAGUUACACAUGCAGUCGUGUGUGUGAUCCCAGAGAGGAGCUGUCAAUACUUUGCCUCGAGCCACCCAUGAAACCUCAUUAAAAAUGAUGUCCUCUUCCUUCACCCCUGUCACCCCCUCACUUCCCACUCCGACUCGCCUGCAUUCAGGCACCCUUAUUAAACAUGCACUUCUAAGCAAGGAGCGCUGACUUCCCCUUAAUUGAGGCAUAAUAAUUAGAGCAUUAACACAUUAGGAGGGUGAGACAGCAUGUUUAGCUUUUGUGAUUAAUUAUCUGAGGAUUGUAAUAAGUUGUUAAGACAUUAAUUACUCUGGCAUGUUUAUUGCUCUUUAUUGCAGAACAGACACUUGGUAGCAGCAAGUGCUGGCUCGUCUGGAAAUAGAGUCAGAAGUGGUCUGAUGGGAGCAGACCACCUACUCAUCCUCAAAACAGUGAGCUGCUGCUGGUGGCAACAAGGUGGAGAAAUCCCCCUUGGUGACCAAAUAGGUUUAUUUCUUACAGAUGGAUGUAGAAAUGGUACCCGAGUCCCUUAGGACAGUCCAGGACCUGGAAAGUCCUUCCUGAUCUUUUAAUCUGGAUUAUUCUCCUCUUUCAAAUGAAGUGUUUCCUUCCUGAUGCUUUGAGCUCCCCUUGAUUCGGGUCAUUGUGUUGCCAAGUUUGGUUAGCAUGGGUCAGUCUCUGUCUGGAUCUCACCAGGAAGAUUGUCUGUAUUAAAGACAGGCUGAAGUUUGGAGCAUCAGCAGAGGCCAAGGAAUGAACCAGGACUCCAGUGGCCUCCCUCACCCUGCCACUGGAUGAGUUUUCCUUUGGAGUUUGGGGAAGUAGGUUAGGGGAGGGGCUGGACAGGUUUGGACUGCUGUAGCCUCCUGUUUGCACAGCAAGCUCCUCUGUGUCCCCUACACAGCUCCAGGUGGGUCUGUCAGGCUGGGACUGAUGGCAGAGUUCAGGGCUGCAGGAGGAGUGGUUCUUUUGUGUUCCUGAAACUCUGAGAAAGAGAAAAGACAACGUCAUAAAAAAGAUAUGUCAUCAAAUCAGCAGGGUGACGUGGUGGAGCUGUUCCCAGUCUCCUGCUCUUCCCAUGACACACUCAUGCUGAUGGACCCCCCUGCCCUCUCCUUGCAGUUUUCUGGCUGGCAGGAACACGGGAGAUGUGAUGGCAGCCCCAACACCUGUAACAGAUAAAGAAAUUUGGGAAUAUUAUGGAAAACAAGAGGGUGGGGAAGCCAUAGGAGCAGUGUGCUGAUACCAAUUUCUUUUGGGAUCCCUGGAACCCAGUGUUUCCUGUCUCUAGGCUGUUCUGUAUCCUCAUGUUAUUGCAACACUUGCCUGUUUCUGCUGGAUGCAUGGAGCAGGGCAGGAAGGGGGCUCUGUUGCCUCUUUUUAGAGUUAAAACAGAAGAUGAUCCUGACAAGUCUUUGUCCUUCCAAGACUGUCCCAGUGGUCACUUUCCCCGUGGCUUCCACCAGCUCAAGCCAGUGUCACUGUCACUCAGUUGUGUGAAUGGCUGUGGAGGAAAAUUCCCUUCCGUGUGUAUAAUCUGGGAUCUGCCUUGUGUCAGCUGAAUGUGAUUUGCUGCCUUCAGCCCCUCAGAGCCUGGUCUGGCUCUCGCUGGCCCAGCCUGGGAUUGGCAUUCACUGUCAGGGACCUGCUCUCUGCAUUCAGAGCAUGGCAUGUGCCAGCCUGGCAUUCCCUGCUCCACCCUGGGGACAAGGCAGGUCAUGACUUAUGCAUUUUAUCAUUACAAAGAGAAUUUCCUCUAGAUGUGUGCAAUAAGCAGUGGUGCUGACCUGUGAUCCUGGAACUGAGCAGCGUUAAUGACUCCCCUUUGCAGGUAAUAAGCAGCAAAUGUACACAUUUUGGGGAGAUCUGAAUAUUUUUUUCUCUUUUUAAGACUGCUGUCUUCCUAGGCCAGACUUAAUUAGCAGACCUCAUUAUUUCCUGAAAUGUAACUUGACUUCUAUUGAAUGAGAAUUGUUCAGUGGAUGGGAAGCAGCAGAGCAGUGCUGCAAUAUUCAUAUUGUUUUAAUUGCAACAUUAACAUUUCAUGCCGCUCUUGGCACACUUUCAGGUGCGGCCCUUCAGCUCAGUGCAACACUGUGAAAGGCUGGAUCAGAACAAUUAGGAUAGAGUGACUGGAUUUCUGGAUUUUCUUUUUUUUUUUUUUUUUCCCUUCUAUUUUAAUGAACAUAAGCUUGAAUUCAGUCCCCAUCCCUCCUUUUGUUGGGCAGAACAAGGAGUCACCCCCCCUGGAGUGUAAAUCCUUUUUUGGUUGUUUUUUUUUUUUUUUUUUUUUUUGAUUAAAGGAUGUGCUGUAGCACAUGUUUAAAUUGUCUUUCUGUGGAGCUGAAGCCCCACAGGUACAAGUGAUACGUGAUCCACCAGGCUGAAGGUGCCUCCUGGGACUUGACCUUUACCAGGUGAAUCAGAGAAGUCCCAGAAUGUGUCUGGCCAGCUGGGACAGUGUCACAAAUGAGCUGGAGGGAAAAAUGUUAUUUCUCACUUCUCAGUUUCUGCCAGGGCUCUGCAAUGCCUGAAGCUGGAAAUGACACUUGGAACAGGGAGAAGCAGGAGGCUGCUGUAUCCCCUUCAGAAGGAAGAAGAGGAGUUUCUGAGGCUCAUUCUUUCCUCCUGGGGGAAGGACGCCCAUGCUGCUGCCUGCCAGCCCCGUGCUGGUGCCAGCAGGUCUGUACUGGGGCUGGUGGGCAGCAAGGACCUGUGUGUGGAGGAAUGGGCUCCCCCUCAAGUGCCACCCAUCAAUCAACAGCUAAUGAGCAGCUCGAUGUGCAAGUGAUCCUGCUGAGAGCUCACCAGGCACUGCUCCGACUCUGGCCUGCCUUCCUGGCAUUCCCUGGCAGCAGUCUGUGGAUGAAACCUCUUUCUGGAAGGUGAAAUCUCUGUCCGUGCAGUGGAGAGGCAGUGGGAGAGUUGUGGGGGUGAGGGAGCUGCUCGGCCAGUGGGUUCUCCCCUUGGAGCUGGGCAUGUCACUUCCAUUUUAGGCAGCAGCUGAACUCAUCCAUAAGUCUGGGAUGGUAAUUAAGGCUGGAAAUGUAGAAGGACUUCAGCUUGGUCUCUUGAAGAAGGGCUAGGGAAGGGCACAUAUUCCAUUUCCAUGGGCUUUCCAAAGGCUAACAUGCCAUCUUACUGACUGGCUCUCCUAUCAGCUGAACAGGCCUGAAACCUUCUCCUGUUGGUACUAUGUGCAGUGGCAUCCAUGAAAUCUCUUCUCUGGAUGUACAGUUUGGGUUUGCAGUCUCUGGUGCCCAGUAAGUCAUUUGUGCUGAAUGGAGCAUCUCCCUUUCCUGGGAUAUUUAUAGCAUCUCUCCCACACAGAUUGUCUGAUGUCUAAUAAGGGAUGAUACACUACAGUUUGGAUGGUGCUAAUAAUGUCUCUCCUUGUUUGGUAGUCUGUUCCCAUGAAAUUUAUAGACUGACUGUCUCCAAGACCUCUGUUGCUCUGUCACAUCAGCUUGAAAUCUGUUUGCAGUGUCAGAAGUUGCUGGGGAGUGGGCAGAGGAGAUGCAGCAGCAUUGCCUGUGCCUUGCGCUCCUUGGGAAACCAGGCUGAAAAUGAUGCGGGGACGGGGGAGCUGUGGCUGGGGUCAGGGGGCAGCGGGUUUGGGAAGGUCCCGGGGGUGUUGGAGGAAGGCGAUGAGCUGCUGGCCCCUUGUGGGAACCAGCGGACAAUAAAGGAGCCAGCCCCGAGCUCCUGGCUGGUGUGAAGAAUUGCCUGGCUAAAGGAUAAUGAAUGCCACAGCAGGAGACGAAGCGUUUCUCUGAGGCCAUUCAUCCCCUUUAUCACCCUGCUAACAAGCCCCAGAGCGACUUUAGAGAGCCUUCUCUGGAGCAGCAGCAUCCCUCAGCCCUGCUGCUGGCUGGGUGCUGGGGGUCAGGGAUGCUGCGUGUGGCAGGAGGGCUCAGCAGGAAAACCACGGACCACCUCUCGAAUAACAGCCCCGGGCUUGGACCUCUGCUCUGGGGACUGUGCCUUGGCUUUGGUUUGGCUGGCGUGGAGACCAUACCCUCCUUCAGGUCGUGCGUGGUGCCACCUGAGAGAUCCAAAUGUAAAAGCCAAGCAUCCAUCUUUUUUAAAGUACUUCUGGGCAGCACCUGCAGCACCCUUAGGAGGAUGGCUCCAUCCUAAGUCCCAGCUUGCCUAAGAUUUAAGAUCUGUAAGAGUUAUACAAGACCCAAGAGGAGUUUGGGGCUGCCAGCACGUAGGUAAGUUGGUUCUGCUUCACUUGCAGUGCAUCUGAGGCUGUGCGUGAGCCUUGUGAGAGGAGGAAAGGGCAGGAGUGCUGUGCUCUUCAUAAGAGCUAAUAAAAGCUAAUCCAUCCCAUUGCUCCAAGACACUGGGAAGCAUUAGUGGCUGGCUGAGUGCCUCCUCCACCGUGGCAGCGUGCUGUGUGCCUCUGCCUUCCCGCUGGCUGGGAGCAAAGCGUGUCCUCCCGUGGUGGGGAAGGCAUCUCUGGCAGAGCUGUGCUGCCUGAGCUGCUCCCUGUGGCUGUCAUGCCUCCUGAGAAGGAAAAACUGCCAGAGAACCUGGACAGGUGAGUCUGGGAAUGAGGAUGGACAUCCCUUGGGCAUUCUCUCAUGGCAGGCCUCAGCCCAAGCAAGUGCCUUGCCUCUGCUGCAGGAGUUGGGCCAUGGCUUGUGGGAGCAGAGGAGAGCAUCACCUCUGAUUUGACUGCUAUAUAUAAGACCCUCAGAAAGGCUGGAGCCAGUUGAGCCCAAAUAAAUGCCCAAAUAGGUUGGAACACCUUCACCAAGCAGGCUGUGAGCUCGCCUGAGCACUGUGUGUGCAGGUAUGAGCUGUGCCACCCUGCCAAGAGUGAUUUGUGUCUGGGGCACAGUGCACAGUGGGUGAUCAAGUAGAAAUAAUUGCCUGUAAUUGGAAGCUUUUUCUUUUUCAUCAUGUCUGUUUUCUUAAUUUCUCCUUCUUCUCCUCCUUCAGGUUUAGCUGUUGGGGAAUGCAUUUUGUGUGGUAAACACCCCACAACCCGUGCUAGGGGGAGAAGGGAAAGCAAAUUGCAUUGUGUUUGGGUGUGCUCAACAAAUGCUGAUAGUGGUUUUAUCAGGGCAAAAAAGGAGGAGAAAAGCUGCAAAGCUUUGCAGAUAGAGAGGGCAGAGUGCCAUGACAGAUAAUUGGGUGGUUCCAGUGAGGGGAGAAACAGCAGGAGAGCAGCAGGUGGUGGGGUUGUCCUGGAAUGUGUUUGCAGAGCUGUGGAACAGAGGAGAAAGUUGGAGCCAGGUAUCAUGGAGCCAGGUAUCUCCUUGAGUGUGAGCAGCAAGAGGAUCGUAAGCCUGAUUUUUUAUUCAGGAGGUCUCCAAGCAUUUUAAAAGGAAGGCAUUAUCACAGGUUAAGAAAUUUCCCGUCUUGAGGCAUCAGUGGCUAAGUUCAGAGGCAGCCAGAGGAACCUGUGAGCGUUGAGCCUUUGUCACAAGCUUUCCUCCCCAAAAGUCUGUGCUCUAGACCUUGGCCUCUCUCCCAGAGCCCUGCGCUGACCAGACGGGUGAUGGGGAGUUCACUGGAGGCCUGCCAUGUCCCACGAGGUGGCAGCAGGACAUGUUGCCUCCUGUGGCCACUGCUGUCAGCUGGACUGCCUUUGGGAGGGAGGAUGCUGGCAAGCCAAGUGGCCUUUCAAAGCAGGCUGGAACUUUAAGGGGUGUCAGUCCAUGUGAGACCUCUGUUCCUGCCCUGACUUCUCAGAGUUUGGGGAGGAGUUCACUUUCAGUCCAGAAACAUCUGGUGCCUUUUCUUCUUCUGCCAGCACCAUUAAAUGUCGAGUUGAAGGGAAACACCAUACAUCACCUUCCUCGUGGGCUGCCAUUCAGCCAAGAGUUACAGAGAUUAGCCUUCAAUCACACGAGGGCUGGAGCUGAAGGAAACCUUCCCGAGGACACGCUGGAGAAACAUUUUCAUUAGCAGAGGAGAGCGUGAUGGAGAUGAAGUGGCCCUUCACCUCGGCUGCCAGACCUCUCUCCUGCCUGGUGCUAACAGGACAGGGAAUGCUAACCGAGGAGCUGGGGCCAGCUGCAGGGCUCUGAGUGCUGUCUGCACUGUUCCUCCAGAUGUGAGGAACAGCUGUGACACAGCAAAGCAGCGCUUUUAUAGUCUGGUAGGGGUGGUCUUGGUUUUCCUCCUACCUGUGAGCUCUCACUGCUGGAAAUAAACUGUCCCUCUUGACUGAAAGGAGAAAACCUGUGCUAGGGCACAUACCUGGGUGGGUGUGGGCCAGAAAAACAAUGUCCUUGGGUGGCAGUGUCCGUGGGGCCAGGAGGUAUCCCAGCCUCUGCCUCCUGCAGUACGUCUUCAAAUCUAACAGGGCUGCCUUGGUGGUAGUAGGGGCUUUCUCUGCUCCAUGGAAAGCUGCUCCACAGCUCUUUGCUCUUACUCUGCCUCUCCCCAAGGCAGUUGAGGUGCCCAGGAUUCACUUCUGCUGUUGAUGUUGACGAAACACCCCCUGGACCCCAGCUGGGUGCCCGGCACAGACCUGUCUGUCCCAGUUAAUGGGAAUUAACCAGCAGGAUCCCUGCAGCUCUGUCUGCCGCCCCCCACCACCUCACCUCCCUGGGGCUGGCGUGCUCCUGACAAAGGCAGGCUCCAUCUCUUUCACUCACAGCUGAAGGAUGCCUUGCCUGCUUCUAUCUUGCAGGUUGGAGGGAAAUUGUUUUAAUUUGUGUGGCACAUUCCUUUGGGCAUAAACUGGGGGAAGAAAAGAAAAAAUCCCAAAGAAAGUCUGGCCAUUAUGGGUAUUUUUAGUUGUUUGCAAAGGACCAUUAAUAUCUCUUUCUCUGUCUUUUUUUUUUAAAUUCCCUGCAGACUGUUCUCUCUCACGGGCUGCCUGUGGUGCUGCAUUAACAUCACAUCUCUGUGGUGAAGGUAAGCUAGUUCUCAGUGCUCCCUGAGACACAGACGCAGAGGGAGCCCCAUCUCUCCUCUUCACUCUCCCUGGGUUUCCACCACAUGCACAGCCUCUGAGAAGGAGCUCCCUGGCUGGGAGGGUGAAGGCUUGGAGCUAUUUAUGCCUUUUGGGAUGGGUUUUAUCAGGAAUGGGAUUCGAGCUCCCUGAGAGGGAGGUGACACAGGCUGGCAGCUAGGGAAUUGGUUUGGAACUUCAGAACAAAUGGCUGGUAUAAUUUUGGAGCAUUCUCUUGUUAAGUUACCUCUCAUGUCGCCCUCCUCCAUUUCAGAACUGAGAGGAAAACAUGGCUCCUGAGCAAUUUUUCCCCCUGUGAUGCCCUCACCUUUCUUGUUUUCCCUUUUCUCCUACAAUCUCAGCUGGCUGAGUUUCACUGCCAGCCUAUUGAAAGGAAAGGCACGUGCUGGCUUAUGGAGGGAGAGAGACCUGAGACAGGAUAAAUCUGUAUGCAGUGAGAAUGGGGGGAAGCAAGUCAGCUGCUCUGACACUUUUAUUAUGGAGCCAGGCUGCUUGGGGAUGAAUCUUUCUUGAAACGUGUUGCUGGAUGACAUUUCUACCAGGUCUCAGCAGUAACCUUCACCAAGCCUUGCUGCCCAGCCCUGUGCUUGCUUUUUCCUGGGACAAAGAGAACGAAUAUCAGCUGGAAAUGCCACAGGCAGCAGGGAUCAAUGGGGCUCGAUGCACCUCCAGUGAGUCUGAAAGCACCUGGACUUUCUCACCACAGAAGCUCUUCAGGCUUUGGUGACUUCAGCUUGUGGCUGCAUGUGUUGUUUUGCAAAGGAGUUGUGGGCUCCUACAUCUGUUUCUCAUUUCAGAAAUGAAGAGGAUGCAGCAGAGACCAAAAUGAAAUUCUCCUCGGAGCUGUCCAGAAGGAUGGAUAACUGCAAGAAAAUAAUAUUCCAUGGCUCUGGAAAAGGAGUAUCCACUUGUUUAGUAACCUGGUAAUGAGGUGCUGGCUGUGCUCCAUGCAGAGGCUGGAAGCCAUGGGAGGUUUGGGGUUACAAAGAGGGCUGGGCAGGGUUUGCUGCCCUCUCAGCUCCUUUGCUGUAUCGCUGUCAACUCAGAUUUCACAUCAAGAGGGUGAUGCUAUGGCUGGCAGUGACAACAGCAGAAUGUCACUGGCAGAGGUGAAGUCUUUCCCUCCAUCAGGGUAAUUCUCCCUUCCCUUUCCCCUUCCCCUUGGCUUGUGUUGGGCCCUGCUGGCUCCUGUGCUGAGCAGGGCAGGCCCACAUGCUGCUCAGGGGACAGCACACGCUGUGCUGAGCAGCAGUUCCUGCAGUCUGGGUCAGUGGCUCCCUGUCACUGCUGCCUCUUGGCUGCAUGGUGACCUGGGACAGAGGGAAACCCCUCGUCACUGCCUGAAACAAAUCGGGGCUGUGAAGCUGCAAUGUUUGCCCCCAUGGCAGCACUGCACAGAGUGGUCCUCUGCCAUGCUGGCAGGCUUGUACCAGAGAUGUCCCUUCAGAGCCCUGGGGUCCCCUGUCCUUCUUAGGGCCAGGCCUAAGCUGGGUCUGAGGGGCAGACUUACAUGUUAAUGGUUCAUGUUCUCUGCAGGCUGCUCUCACCUCCUCUGAGCAGGAGCUGAUCUUGCAGGAAGGUGCCUGUGCCCACCUGCUGCAGCAGCCCCUCUACCAGCAUCUGUCCCCAGGGGCCAGUUCAGCAAAGCCUUGCUGUUGUUCUGGGUCCAGUUUUCAUUUUUCAGCUGGUUAUGGAAAAAAGGGUAAAGGUACCUGCUGCUGCCAGGCCACAGUAGAAAACAGAGGAAGGGGAUUGCCUUCUUAGUGUGCUUAAAGAUCCAAAAAUUUAAUCUGACUGCUUCUCUCUCAGCCCUGAUCCUGUUGUAUCUUUUCCAUCUGAUGCCUGAGCCUUUUUUUGUUUUGCUAUUUUUUCUUGUUCCCUUUUUACCCUCACUUUAUGAAAAAUGGCUUUCCCAUCUGCAAUUGUCAGGAGUCUGCCUGAGCUGGGUGUACGGCUCAGUGAAUAUACAAAUGUGUGGUUGGGUCGUGGCCCUCCUGCCAGGCCAGAGAUGAAUUCCAAAUGUGCAGGGAGAAAGGCUUCUGCUGCCUCUCAUGGUUGUUUUUCUUAUCCCAAGGAGGUGUGAGAAUUGCCUUUGGGAGCUGUGCUUCCUUCUGCUCCUGCUCUGCUUACCAAGGAUCAGUUCUCUCUCAUCCAUCAUCAGAUGAGUCCUCCUUGCUGCUCCUCUCAGCUGCUGAUGGGAACGCUGGGGAAAGGGACAUGUUUUGUUAUCCUGCUUUUUACUACUAUUCUUUUCCCUCUGCCUUUUGCAUCCCUCCUCUUAGGCCCAUGACAAUGCAUUGGGCAGGCUGGGGCUUGAGGACACUUGCUGGUCCAAGCACUUUUAAAGAGAGUUAAGGAUGAGGUAGAAGGAAGGGCAUUGUUUUGUAGAAUCACAGAAUAUCCCAAGUGGGAAUUCACAAGGAUCAUUGAGUCUAACUCUUGUCCCUGCACAGGACACCCCAACAAUCCCACCAUGUGUCUGAAAGCAUUGUCCAAACACUCCUUGAGCUCUGGCAGGCUUGUGGCUAUGGCCACUGCCUUGGGGAGCCCAAUCACCCUCUGAGUGAAGUACAUUUUCCUAAUAUCACCCUAAACCUGACACAGCUUCUUGCUGUUCCUUUGGGUCCUGUUGCUGGUCACCAGUUUGACCUAAGCCCCUUAAGAGGCUUAAAAUGCAGCUUUGGAAUUUUUCAGCAGUGGUGCACAACUCCACAUAAGAUACCCUGAAAGCAGCCAAAUGCUCCUGCAUAUUUCAGCCUUGCUGUGUCCCCUUUCCCUGCUGCAGGUGACCAGCACUGUGGAGCUCUACAAGGAGGAGUUCACCAUCUCUGCUGUGUAACUGCAGGGUCACUCAGGUGCCCAGAGGGGGCUGACAGCCUGCCCUGACAGCCAGGGGUUUGCUGAGCUUUGUGCAGGCUGGUAUGUGAGCUGCUUCCCUCACCCCUGUGCCCAGAGGAGCUUACAGCCAGCGGGGCUCAGAGGAGCAGGCAGGCAGAAAUUGAAAUGAGCCUGCCCAUCCACGCUCUUGCCACAGUUACCUGGGCAAGGAGGGGAGGUUUCUGGGAGGGCAGACCCCCACUUUGGCAGGAAGAGAGAGCAGGCAGCUUGAGCUGAGCUCAUUUUUCGACAAGCAGAUGGAUGUUCAGUGGGGACCCACGAAAACCCUCUCGCUCCAGGCUGCAAGCCCACCAAACCAAAGUGUUGUGCUGACAUGGAAAAAAGCAUCGCUCCAUUGAUGCUCAGCCUGAAUUGCUUCUUCCAUUCGGUCCAGGACACAGAGACAGCCUCCUCCUGCCACCAGCUCCCAUGAGGAGCCGGCUGCACACCUGCAACCAGGCGAGGAGGGAGCAGGAGCUGUUGGGCCACGAGGAAGGGGAGCGAUGGCAGAUUCCUGCAGCAUUUCCACCCCGCGGGGCUCUUGGCGAGCGAGCGCUCGUCUGCUUUGAAAGCUCUUAGUGCUCCUGCAGGUGAGAGCCAAUUUGUCUGCUUUCCUGCCCAGGUGCCAUCUGUUUGUAGGAUUGCCUGUGCGGUGGAUGAGCACGGCGGGGAUGGCGAAGCGAAAAGGGCUGCUGGGGUGGGAGGAUGAGCCUAAAACUUUCCUUGGGUAUCUUCAGCACUUCUGGCUGCCGUUGUUGCUUCUGCUCUGCACCGCGGUGGGGAAAUCACAGCCUGUCAUUUGGUGUUCCUGGAGCGUGAUGGGGCGCUGAGGCACCGCUAAUAGCAAACCAUCAUUUUAAUGCUAAUUUCCUACCAUUAGCUCAGGCUGGGGGAGGCUCAGCCUGGGUGGAGGGAAGCCAUUAACAGAUGGAGAAAGGGGGGAUGUGUGGGGAUUUGUUCUGCACCCCCAGAAGGGACUUCCAAAGGGCAGAUGACUAACUACCACUGGGAAAAUUGGUGGGAGGCACUGGGGUCAGUCUGUGGUGGAUGUGUGGGAGGGAGGAAGAGCGAUGCUUUGCUCCGAAUCAUCUUCCUAUAGGCAUUUCUUGAGUGCUUCAGACUUUGGCUUGAAUUUGGUGUUUGUUGCUUGUGGCCAGCCCUCUGUGCCCUGUGACCCAAGGGAUGCUCAGAGUGCUUGCAGGGCUGCAGCUGGUGGCAUCGUUGUCCUUACAACAAAGAAGACCAGCAGGGCUGUGUUUAGCUGCUGUCAUUUUGGGAGGGGCUCCUUAGUGCAGGAGCCUGCGCUAAGUUUUGAGUGAUGGGCUCAAAGCAGGAAAAUUUGGAGCCGUUCAUGAGAUACCCAAGAGGUAAAAAAAGAAACUUGCCCUUUUGCCAUGAGUGCAAAGUCAGCUGUCCCAAGGUGGAGAGCUGGCAGGAGAAACCAGGGGCUCAGUUUGGAGUCAUGAAGGAAACCCAAUCAUCUCCUUGCCCUUUCCAGAGGUGGUAGUCCCCACAUCCAGCCUCUUGGUCAGUCUCCUCUAGCCAUGCCUGCAAAGUGGAGGAGCCUGGGCUGGUGUAGGUGCCUGGAACUCCAGGGGGGUUUGAAGAAAUAUGACUGGCUGCAGGACUGUAAGGCCUGUUUGGGAUUUUUCAGGCAGCAGUCAGAGAGGUUUCCCUACCAUUUCUAGACCAGCAUGGAAACGCUGGGACUAAAGAGAUGUCAGCUCAGAUGCUAUGCCUGUCUGGAAAGAAACUGGUUGCCUACUAAUGGGGGACAGCACUGUUUGAAGUCAAGGGCCCAGUGGUGUCCUGUCUGUGGUGUGACACCUCUCCUGAAGACACACCAGCCUGUGCUGAUGCAGACCACUGGCUUCAUCAUUUCAUAUGUAAGCCUAUGUGGAUAUUUUUUAAACCCACCUAAGGACCAUUUUAAAAUUCUUUUGUCAUCUUCAUCCCCAGAGAAGCAGGGGAAGGACAAUAGCAGCCACAAUAAACCAGGAACUGGUUAAAUGGCAAAGGGAUUGAAAGCCAAGAAGGGACCAUCCUGCCAGGAGGACAAUAGCAAAGGCUACAUUAGUAGAGUACCAGCUAUCAGAUCCCUCUCGGUGUGGAGCAUGACUCACUGUUUUUAAAGAAACUAUUUCCAUCUGAGAAAAUGGCUCCUAUAUUUUAUAAAGGCAGCUUUGGUUGAGGAGAGGAAAGGAAAAGUGAAGUGCUACUUUUUCCUAGUUGAGGAGGAUCAAACUUUCCUUCAAGCAGCUGAGCAAGGAAAUCAGUGCCUUACGUGUUCCCAAGAAUAAUACAAUCCAGUAGUUUUGUGGGGAGGAAAGAAGUCAGAAUAAAAUAGCAUUGCUCUUCCCAGUUGAGCACUCUGAAUAAUGAGCCUGCAGGCUGGAGGGAGAGCUCCCGAGAGAGGCGCCUGCGUGCCGGAGAUGGACACAACAAGUGUCUCACAUGGGUCGCUAUCUGAAGCGAUGUCUCUCUAAUUUUCUACAUCACUGAGAGCACAGCACAGCACCAUCAAUCAUAGUCAACCUCCCCUCAGAAAGCCACAUCCCACCUCGCUGUGCUGUGCUGUGCCCCUGUACUCCUGCCCGUGUGGGGACCGCAGGUGUCCCUGCAGCAGCACUGCAGGCACGGUCCCUCCCAGGGGUUCUCAUUCAUUGUGUUAGAGCCUGCCUGGGGUUCUGCCUGUCUCCUUCCUCCACCCCCGGUGCCUGCUCCUUGCCAGCACUUCAUUUCCAGAUGCAUCUUCCCCUCCUGGGGUCAGAAAAGGCCAGAUGCUCCCUUUAUCCCCAGUGAGGAGAAGGUGUGGGCUGCCUUACCUGGGAUAAACUCACUGUGUGCUGCCUGGGGGAGGCCUGAGGGUGGGCUUGGUGCUUGUACUGCUCAUCUGAGGACGGGGAGGUUGGCCUUUGCAGUUCCCAUGGAGCCACCAGGGCAUGCUUGGGGCUGGCUUCUUUGCCCCAGCUCUGGGCGCGGAGCAGCUUUCAUGCUGUGCUUGUCAUGCAAUGCAGCAGCUCUUGGUCCCUCAUUUCUCUUUUUGUGAACCCCCCUGCUCCUUCCUGGCCUGGCUGUGCUUGUACCAGACCCAGGGGCACUGCUUUGGCAGGAGCAGUGGUGGUGGCUCUUCUCCUGGCCAGGCACACUCCGAGAGUAGCCAGAGGGCUGGUGGGACACAGAUCUGUUCCUGUGGCUGCUUCUCUACUGCAGCACAGACAUAGCUGGUGGGCUUGCUGCCUCUUGCUUCUUUAUCUUUAUCACGUGCUAAAUUGGCUGCUCUUCCUCAGUUGUGGUGGCUCUUGGACCUACCAAAACCUGGCUGACUUGUUCCUGGUAUGAUGAUACAGAAGUUGUUUGACUCCAUGGGCCCAAGCUCCAGCUAGAAAACCAAGGACCGAGCUGCUUUCUUUGAGCACAGCCUUAGAGAGGAGCAUUUUCAGAAGAAACUCUUGGAAUUGCCACCUCCCUCUCAGCCUCUUCAGUGGUUUCUGCUGAGCAUCCUUGACCUCUUUCUCAGGCAUGGUUCCUUGCAUGUAUCAGCCCUGCUCUGGUGUUGUGGAGCUGUUGCUGGCAUCUGUAAUAGCUGCAUUGUUUACUUCCCAAGUGCCUGCCCUUUCUGUAAUGAGCUCUAAUUCAUCCUGCUAUGUACAGGGCUCCAGGACACCUGGAGCAAGGAGGGUGUGCCAUUAAACCACCUCCUAGGCUGCUACCUGGACCUGGGAUUGCUGAUUUCCUGGAGAUGUAAAACAGGGAGAACAAGGGGGACCAGAUGGAAAUGGGGAAUAAUUACCUUGCAGGGUGAAGGGGGCUGGCUGGGUUGGGAACUGCUGGGAGCUGACAUGCAGGUGCAGAUGGAUGGUUACGGCAGGCAGGGCAGAGGGAUGAAAGAUGCCUUUUUAAAGCAUCUGCCUCCCUCUCUUCCUCUGCUUUAUAACCUGUUUUUAUAGAGACUGCAUGAGGAACACAUUUUUUUUAUUAGCAGCUUGGGAGUGGAGAGUAAUAAAGAUUAAUUUUUUUAAAUAA